rnacentral:tRNA from 1 species
UUUAAUAGAAGCCAAAAUAGCGGCAAUUCACUGUUAAUGAAUUUAUUGAUUCUCCUAUUAAA